rnacentral:siRNA from 1 species
AUGGAAUAACAGGUGGCGUUCUGC